rnacentral:rRNA from 1 species
CGUGGGUAAUCAACCCUUCAGCUUGGGAUAACGCCUUGAAAGGGGCGCUAAUACCGGAUACGGCGCGAGAGACUUCGGUCUUUCACGAGAAAGGUUCGCAAGGACCACUGAGGGACGAGCCUGCGGCCCAUCAGCUAGUUGGUGAGGUAAGAGCUCACCAAGGCUAAGACGGGUAGCUGGUCUGAGAGGAUGAUCAGCCACACUGGAACUGAGACACGGUCCAG